CGGGAGGCAGCAGUGGGGAAUAUUGGACAAUGGGCGAAAGCCUGAUCCAGCCACGCCGCGUGUGUGUAGAAGGUCUUCGGAUUGUAAAGCACUUUAAGUUGGGAGGAAGGGCAGUAAGUUAAUACCUUGCUGUUUUGACGUUACCAACAGAAUAAGCACCGGCUAACUUCGUG
rnacentral:rRNA from 1 species